rnacentral:rRNA from 1 species
AGUGAACGCUGGCGGUAGGCCUAACACAUGCAAGUCGAACGGCAGCACAGUAAGAGCUUGCUCUUACGGGUGGCGAGUGGCGGACGGGUGAGGAAUACAUCGGAAUCUACUUUUUCGGGGGGGAUAACGUAGGGAAACUUACGCUAAUACCGCAUACUACCUACGGGUGAAAUCAGGGGAUCUUCGGACCUUGCGCGAUUGAAUGAGCCGAUGUCGGAUUAGCUAGUUGGCGGGGUAAAGGCCCACCAAGGCGACGAUCCGUAGCUGGUCUGAGAGGAUGAUCAGCCACACUGGAACUGAGACACGGUCCAGACUCCUACGGGAGGCAGCAGUGGGGAAUAUUGGACAAUGGGCGAAAGCCUGAUCCAGCCAUACCGCGUGGGUGAAGAAGGCCUUCGGGUUGUAAAGCCCUUUUGUUGGGAAAGAAAAGCAGCAGGUUAAUACCCCGCUGUUCUGACGGUACCCAAAGAAUAAGCACCGGCUAACUUCGUG